rnacentral:rRNA from 1 species
UACGAGAGGUCCAAACGUUAUUCGGAAUCACUGGGCUUACAGAGUUCGUUGGCGGCUCUACAAGUGUGGUGUGAAAGCCCUCGGCUCAACCGAGGAACUGCGCUUCAAACUGUAAAGCUGGAGGGAGAUAGAGGUGAGCGGAACUGAUGGUGGAGCGGUGAAAUGCGUUGAUAUCAUCAGGAACACCGGAGGCGAAGGCGGCUCACUGGGUCUCUUCUGACGCUGAGGAACGAAAGCUAGGGGAGCAAACGGG